CAAUAAUAAAUCUAAUUUAAAGUGUUUUUUUACAACUCCUGAAGUAGUAAAGUGCUACCUAGAAACCUAUUUUAAAGUAAACAACAAUGCAUGAGUCUUUUACAUUAUAAAGUGAUAAUUAAAAAAGGAUAUCUAUUUGUUACAUCUAAACGAGAAAAAAUAUGACUAAAAUUUUCAAGUUUGCUUACGCUAUGAUCUUUGUUCUUUACCUAUUUCUUUUUGUAACCAACAUCAACUGUGCUUCCUGUUGUAUUGACGUCGAUUGUUUUAAAUAUUGUUUAUAUCCUAAAAUUCCGUCAUGCAUUAAGAAAAUUUGUUAUUGUUUUUGGGGUUAAACUAUUAUUUGGAGUUGUUACUUUAGUCCCUAAGUCAAGUAAAAAUUCAAAUUAGUGUUUGAAUAAUUAAAAUAAUCUCUAAAAAAUAUAACUUAUUAUCAUAAAAGUAUUUAAAAGAUACUAUUUGUUGUUGAAAGAUAUUAUAUAUUUUGUUUUAAAUAUUUUAUGAAUUUUUAGCAACAAAAAUAUAUGUAAAUUUAGCACUUUAAAUGUAUUUUCCGACUAUUUUGAAAUGUGAGAGACAAGACAAUAUUUUAAUCCGGUGAAAAAAUGUUGUCUCAAUAUACAACAAAAGUGUUCUCUUUUUUUUUUCAUUGUGAAGGUUGUACCUGCGAAUUUUCCAACGGAUUUGUGCUAAAAUUUCGCAGAAAAUACGUUACCUUUGGAUUUACCGGCGGAAGUAUGUCUCCACGUAAAACCUUCAUGGAUAAUUGUUUUCUGAUAAUUUCUAAAUCUAUAGAUAAUCUGCGGAUGAUUCUGCAGGAAAAGUAAAUAAAAUCCGGAGCAAAUAUUUUAUAAACUUAAGACAUUUUCUUACGAAUUUGCAUACAUAACAGAUCUGCAGUGCCAUUCCUGGGAAUGUGUUCCAAGUGUAUUUCUGCAGGUAAUGUCAUAUUGUAAGAUAAUAUGUUUCCUUG